AUUGAACGCUGGCGGAAUGCUUUACACAUGCAAGUCGAACGGCAGCACGGGAGCUUGCUCCUGGUGGCGAGUGGCGAACGGGUGAGUAACGCGUAGGAAUCUACCUGGUAGUGGGGGACAACUUGGGGAAACUCAAGCUAAUACCGCAUACGCCCUAUGGGGGAAAGGUGGGGGACCGUUCGGGCCGUCACGCUAUCAGAUGAGCCUGCGUAGGAUUAGCUAGUUGGUGAGGUAAAGGACUCACCAAGGCGACGAUCCUUAGCUGGUCUGAGAGGAUGAUCAGCCACACUGGGACUGAGACACGGCCCAGACUCCUACGGGAGGCAGCAGUGGGGAAGUAUUGCGCAAUGGGGGCGAACCCUGACGCAGCCAUGCCGCGUGUGUGAAGAAGG
rnacentral:rRNA from 1 species